GCCGCAGUGGCCAAGCGGUUAAGGCGCCGCACUUGUACCAAGAGUAUGAUAUGCGGAGAUCACAGGUUCGAGUCCUGUUUGUGGCA